rnacentral:rRNA from 1 species
UACAGAGGGGCAAGCGUUGUUCGGAAUUACUGGGCGUAAAGGGCGCGUAGGCGGCCUGCUAAGUCGAACGUGAAAUCCCCGGGCUCAACCCGGGAACUGCGUCCGAUACUGGCAGGCUUGAAUCCGGGAGAGGGGAUGUGGAAUUCCAGGUGUAGCGGUGAAAUGCGUAGAUAUCUGGAGGAACACCGGUGGCGAAGGCGGCAUCCUGGGCCGGUACUGACGCUGAGGAGGCGAAAGCGU